rnacentral:rRNA from 1 species
UACGUAGGGCGCGAGCGUUGUCCGGAUUUAUUGGGCGUAAAGAGCGUGUAGGCGGCCAGGUAGGUCUGCUGUGAAAACUCGAGGCUUAACCUCGAGAUGUCGGCGGAAACCAUCUGGCUAGAGUCCGGAAGAGGAGAGUGGAAUUCCUGGUGUAGCGGUGAAAUGCGCAGAUAUCAGGAAGAACACCCGUGGCGAAGGCGGCUCUCUGGGACGGUACUGACGCUGAGACGCGAAAGCGUGGGGAGCGAACAGG